UGGCCGGCGGCAGGACCGUGGUCGCGGUCAACCUUCGCAGUCUUCCUCUCGCGGCGGCGGCGGUAGAGCAAGAGGCCGUGGAUCAGCUGGUUCUACUGCAACUUAUAACCCCCCUCCUCCUCAGAUGGCUCCGGCUCAGCCACCUCCUCAAAUGGCUUUAGCUCCGCCAGUUCCUCCAUCGGGGGCCCCUUUUUCUCAUCCUUCUUCAAGUUCUGGUGUAGGAUCACUUUCCAGAGAGGUAUCGGAGAAGCUUACAAUGGAGCCGGUGGCUGUGACUACGGCGCCUCCUCUUCCUCCGUCGUCGUCAAAGGCGAUUAGGUUCCCUCCAAGACCGGGGUUCGGCACGGUCGGUACAAAGUGUGUGGUUAGGGCCAACCAUUUUCUCGUAGAUGUUGCUAAUGCCGAUCUUCAUCACUACGAUGUAACUUUCUUUCUCGCAUGUCUCCCUAUUUGAUUUGAAGCCUGUAUUUUUUCUCGACAUUUUUGGCUUGUUGUUCUAAUCGGUUUUUUUUCUAUAUUUGUUUUUUUUCUCUUUCUUUUUUGCUUGUAUAUGUCUGCUUCCUUCCUUUCGACCUAUCUAUGGAUUUAAGUUUUCAGUAAUUACUUUGAAAAACCGAGGGAAACCUUAACUGUUAAUGGCUUGCUUAAACGAAUUCCACUUGUUUAGAUCAUAUUUUUUGAAUUCUAAUGUUUUCAUGUUUCUGUUCGCUUAUUCAUUUACCUUGUUCAUCCCUGAUACUUGCAUUUUCUUCUCCAAUAUUUUAAUCGCUAGUUUUCCUUGUCAUUUUUCUGCCUUGUUUUAAUCGUUUUAUAUUUUGGUACUUCUUAGAGCUCUGUUUUUUAUCCGACUUUACUAUACACUGAAGGUUUUAGUAGUUACUUUUCCUUAAAAAAACCCAAGGGUAAGUUUGACUGUUAAUGAUUUGCUUGACUGAGUUGGGCUUUUUGUUAUUUAUUGUCUCGUUAAAUUUUAUCUUCAUUGGAUUUUAAUGUAUAUUUUCCUCAUCUGUUUUCUUAUUUAUUUACUUGUCUCUUUGUCCAUCUCUGUUACUUGCAUCUUCUUCUCGUCUCUUUUGAUGGCCUUUGGUGCUUCAUUGCUUAUAGGUUACUAUAACGCCCGAGGUAACCGCAAAAAAAGUUAACAGAGCAAUAAUGAAGCAACUUAUUGAUGUAUACAAAGAGUCGCAUCUUGGACGUCGGUGUCCAGCUUAUGAUGGCAGGAAGAGUUUGUACACUGCUGGUCCUCUUCCCUUCGAGUCAAAGGAGCUUGUUAUCAAGCUACCUGAGGAAGAUCGCAGUGCUGGUUCGUCUAGGCCUGCGCGGUAAUAUUAUUGUAUCCUAUGAUGGUCUCUUGACAUUUUACAUUUUAUCCGAUGUCAUUAUUGCUUACCUGUGAUCUUUCUGGUUGCCUGUCACUGCAGGAAGGAGCGACAAUUUAAGGUUGCAAUCAAACUGGCCUCCAAGCCAGACCUUCAUUAUCUCAGGGAGUUUCUGAGCAGAAAGCAUUUUGAAUGCCCUCAAGAAGCUAUUCAAGUUCUGGAUGUUGUUCUUAGAGCUAAACCAUCUCAGACGUAACUGCCUGUUGAUUACUGUUAAACAUUGCUUGCUGUUAAAUUGCUGAAACCAUUUUAUAUGACAUCAAAUUAAUACAUUUGAAACAUCAUUUGGCAGAUAUACUGAGGUGGGAAGGUCUUUUUUCCAUACAUCAUUAGGUCCUAGAGGAGAACUUGGUAAUGGAAUAGAAUACUGGUCUGGAUAUUAUCAGAGUCUUCGACCCACUCAGAUGGGUUUAUCUCUUAAUAUUGGUAGGUACUUUGAUUGCUCAGUUUGUGUAGCCACUUUGUUCCUAAUGUUUCAGUAUGAAGAUAUACUGGUUUUGCUUUGCAGAUGUGUCUGCUCGAUCAUUCUAUGAGCCAAUUUUAGUUUCAGAGUUUGUUGUGAAACAUUUCCGACGAUCAAACCUGUCAAAGCCGCUGUCUGAUCAAGAUCGUAUUAAAGUAUGUAUAUAUUGAAUUCAGUGUUUAUUAAUCAAAACUUGCAGAAUAUUUUUGGAAUGCUUCUUUUGCUGUAUUCUUUAGGUGAAAAAGGCCUUGAAGGGUGUAAGAGUUAAGCUCAUCUACAUGGAUUAUGCCAAAACUUGCAAGAUUACUGGAGUAUCUAGAGACCCUAUAAGCCAGUUGACGUGAGUUUGUUGUUAUAAUACUAUACGUGCUCAUAAAUAUUUUUAGUAAGCUACUUUUAUGUGGCCUGUGUGGUAGAAUUGUUUUUGGGUUAUUUGUAGUCUUGUAUUCACUACUUAUCUAAGUUCCAUCUUCAAAUUGAGUUGGUUUUAUUUUUUUUUUUUGUGGUUGACAGUUUUUAGUAUUUGGCUUGGUUAUGUAUUGUUCUAAAAUAUUGUUUAUGCUUGUACAUUUGUAAAAUCUUGUGCUUAUGGUAUAUUUGUCCCAUUCUGUCUCAUUAUGUUUCUGUUCAAUUUUUGGCUUUUUUAGAUUUACUCUUGAUGAUAAGAGAACAAAUGUCUCUGUGGUCAAGUAUUUCCGUGAGAAAUACAAUGUUGUGCUUAAAUAUCCAUCCUUGCCUGCACUUCAAAGUGGAAGCGAAGCUAGACCUGUCUACCUGCCAAUGGAGGUUUUUACUUUAUAUCAAGAUGAUCUUGUUUUUGUUUUCUUUUUGUUUGUUACUGAUUCUCUUGUAUGAUUUUGUUUUACAGCUUUGUAGUAUCGUUGAGGGUCAAAGAUACACAAAAAAACUAAAUGAACAACAAGUUAGAUCUCUGCUGAGAGCAACUUGUCAACGUCCGAACAUUAGGGAGGGGAAUAUUACAAAGGUACUACAGUUUUGGAUGCUUAUUAUUUUUUAAAUUUGUUGAUAAGAUGAGAAUUGUGAUUCAUUUGGCAUUUCAUGUUUCUGCAGAUGGUCCAGGUCAAUAAUUUUGAGGUGGAGGAGCUUGUUACUAAAGAAUUUGGAAUGCAUGUUCGCAAAGAACUUGCAUUGAUUAAUGCACGAGUUCUAAAUCCUCCAGUGGUACUUAUAUGCCAAUAUGUUAUAUUUUCAAGGAUAUUGUCCGUCUUAUAAUAAGAUUAAUGUCGGUUUUGGUUGCUGCAGCUAAAGUAUCACGAUAGUGGACGUGACAAAAUUGUUAAUCCUAGCUGUGGGCAAUGGAACAUGAUCAACAAGGUGAUUUUUUUUUCUUCCCCUCUUAUUCUUUGAAGUGGCAUUAUUUGUAAAAUUUAAGGAAUCAGACCUGUCUCUUCAGUCUCCUUGUUCCAGCGUUCUUGUUCAUUUUUUUUCAAUUCAUUUUUAAGGUUUGCAGCGUCUCUUCUCUGCAGUUUAGUGUAGCUGCAAGUCUUUUGGGAAAAUUUUGCUAGGUUUUAAGGUUCAACAUUUUUUUUUGCAGAAAAUGGUCAAUGGGGGUAAAGUUGAUUUCUGGUCUUGUGUGAACUUCUCCUCUGAAUAUUGGAAUAUGUCAGAAGACUUCUGUGCGGGGCUGGUGAAUAUGUGUAACAGCAAAGGAAUGGUAUGCUGUGUGGUUUUUUUAGUGUAGGUGGAUGGUACAUCUGUUAUUUAUUCAUCACUAGCUUGAUUUCCGAUUUUGUUACUCUAGGUGUUUCGCCAAACUCCUUCAAUUGCAAUGCGAUCAGCUCGUGCUGAUCGAAUUGAUCAGACUCUCAUGGAUGUAUACAAAGAGUCUGCAGGCUUGAAUAAGCCACUUCAGUUGUUGAUAAUUAUCUUACCUGAUCAGACUGGCUCUUAUGGUAAGAAAUUCUGAUGUUUUGUAAAUAGGUAAUUCCUGGGUUGUCUUUGCGCGACUCAAAUCUUUUUGUUUGCAGGAAAAAUAAAGCGAAUUUGUGAGACGGAGCUAGGUAUUGUUUCACAAUGUUGUAAGCCUGUGCAAGCUUCAAAGUUCAGCAACCAAUAUUUUGAAAAUGUUGCUCUCAAGAUCAAUGCUAAGGUAUCUGUUUUGCCUCACUGGUGGUGAUUUGAUAUAGUGGUUUCUUGUCUUGCUAUCUUCUUUUAAAUCAUUUGAGAAUUGUAAAUUCUGUAGGUUGGGGGGAGAAAUACUGUGCUGAACGAUGCUGUUUUAAGGAGAAUUCCGCUUGUGACUGAUGUCCCUACAAUCAUUUUUGGGGCAGAUGUCACUCAUCCGCCGCCUGGCGAAGACUCUAGUUCUUCUAUAGCUGCAGUAAGCAUAUUCAUUAUUCUCUAUCAUCCCCAUUUUGUUACUUGAUCAUAUUUAAGAGGUUAUUGGCUGGCUGCAGGUCGUUGCUUCAAUGGAUUGGCCUGAGGUAACCAAGUAUCGUGGAAUUGUCUCUGCACAGACUCACCGGGUGGAAAUAAUCGAGGAUCUUUAUAAACAAACUAGGGAUCCACAGAAGGGUUUAGUUGAGGGUGGAAUGGUUAGGUAGGGAGAGAUUUAUUCCAGGCUUAAAUUUUUAGUUUCUUCUGGAAGUGCUCUACUUUCUUAACAUUUCAAGUUCUCUGCAGGGAAUUGCUUCUUGCUUUCUACAGGUCAACGAAACAAAAGCCUUCUAGAAUUAUCUUCUAUAGGUAAUGUUUGCUUUUGACCAUCCGAAUCUAUGUAUAUAUUUCUAGCAGCAGUGCUGAUAUCUGAUUUUUGAUGUGUGGCAGAGAUGGUGUUAGUGAAGGACAAUUCAGCCAAGUUUUGCUUUAUGAAAUGGAUGCGAUUCGGAAGGUAUUGAAAUUACUGUAUAAUGUCUAUUAUAGUUGGUUCACUGUAUAAUGGAUGCAAUGUUUUUUGGUGUUUGGGCCUUCUGACCCCUGCAGUUUUCUUACUUCCAGGCUUGUUCCUCGCUACAGGAAGGAUAUAUGCCUCGGGUUACAUUUGUUGUGGUUCAAAAGAGGCAUCAUACUCGCUUAUUCCCUACUGAUCGCAACAAAACUGAUAGGAGUGGCAACAUAUUACCAGGUGAUUCUAAUCUUAUAAUAGGGAUUUGAUCGUAUUCUCUUGAUCUUCAUUUUGUUAGCAUAUUUUAAUGUAGCCAAUAACUUUUAGGUACUGUUGUGGAUACUAGCAUCUGUCAUCCAACUGAGUUUGAUUUUUAUCUCAAUAGUCAUGCUGGAAUCCAGGUAAAAUGAGGCCUUCCCUUGAAGUGUGAUGGUUUUUAUGUUAAUUUUGUCCGAUCUGAUAUUGAUAUUGAUGUUUUUGUGUAGGGGACAAGCAAGCCCACACAUUACCACGUUUUGUUGGAUGAAAAUGGCUUCACUGCUGACAUCUUGCAAGUGCUCACAAACAAUUUAUGUUACACGUAUGUGUUUGCUCCUUUCUCUAUAAUGUUGAAAUGGGGUGAAUAAAUAAUGCUUUAGAUCAGCACUAGCAAUUAUAUAGUAAUAAUUUUACUUUGUGGAUAGGUAUGCGAGGUGUACCAAGUCCGUUUCCAUAGGUUUGUGAUGAUGUUUUUUUGUCUUGUUAAAUUUGUUGACUAAGGUUGGUUUUGACAGUGAAUAUUUGGAUUAUAUGUUUGCAGUUCCUCCGGCAUACUAUGCUCACCUCGCUGCUUAUAGGGCACGUUGUUAUAUUGAGGAUGAGAUGUCGGAUAGUGGGUCUACUGGUGGAGGCCGAAAGCCGAAAGACAAGGUUGUAGAGGUUAGGCCGCUGCCCAGCAUAAAGGAUAAUGUGAAGGAAGUGAUGUUCUACGUCUGAUUAAUUAUGUUUGGUUGAUUGUGGGAAGUUGCGCAAGUAUAGUUGCACAGUUUGUGGAUGAUGGUGGAGUCUUAUUGAUUCCAUUGGUGGACUUAGUAAUCAUCUAAUUUUGGAGUUUUUGUUUUGGUGGUUGAGCUACUUGUUGUGUGAAGUUUGAAUUAUUAUAAAUCACACACUGUUUGUGGAUUACGAAAAUUUCAUAAAUGUCCUUUAUUUUUAAGACACAUUCUUAGAAAGGAGUUUUGGUAUCAUUCUUAAGCUUCUUUUAUAUCACCAAUUAAUACAAGAGAUGAUGAAAUUUUAGAGAAUAAUGUCUUUUUAUAAAGAGUUUUUAAAUGUUCAGAACACAAAUUGUAAGAUAUGCUCGGAUAUCCUCACUGCAUCUCCUUGCAACUCCAAUGAAUAAAAAAGCAAUCCUAAUCAAUUUUCUUUUUAAUUUACCAUUUUAAUAAACAUAGUAAAUACAAUUUUAUUAACUUAUUAAUUAAUUUUAUAAAUUUACAUAUUUUUAAUUCAUAAAAGUGUGAUAAUUUUAAAAACUUUUAUUAUAUAUAAUUUUUAAUCUAAUGUUUUCAAUAGUUAUAUUUUAUUAUUAUCUCACCGUUACAAUUACGUUUGAAAUUAAAUAUACAUCUCACCACUGUUUCUAUUCUCAUUGCUAUUGCUGUUUUUAACUUUACCGAAGAUAAAUGUAUCGUCCAUCCCAAUUAAACCUUAGUCCAUUUAUAGUGUUUUUUUUACUUCGUUAAAGCUGGACAAACUAUGCCAUUAAAAUUUUAAUAGCUUAAGUUUAGAUUGAAUGAGCGAUGCGUUUACUUUCGGUGAGAUUAAAAACAACAAUGGUAGUUAGAUUAGUUACUGUAGCGAUGAAAUUAGAUACUGUAGUAGUGAUAUUAGAAAUAGCGGUACGGUGUGUGUUUAGAUUCAAACGCAACUAUAAUAAUGAGUUGAGAAUAAAAAAUGACUAUUAAAGACAUUAGAUUUAUGAGUUCUCUCUCAUUUCAUCUUUUUUUCCCCUCAAAUUCUGUUAUGAAUAAAAAAUCUUCUUUAAAUAUCAAAGGAAAAGCUCUCAUUUAAUCCUCUCAUCUGAUUGUAUGAAAACGGUUUUGUUCAUUCAUCAGCUAUUCUGCUCUAUCAUUGCUUUUAUCUGUUUCAUUUUUUUCCAAUCUAAAACUAAAAAACAAACACCAUCUUUUCCAUUCAUGAUGACACAGAAGGUGAAGAAAAUUAUAAAUUUUGAUUCAUCAAUGGGUAUGGGUGGUUAACCAAAAUAGAGAAGAUAAAAAAGAAAAAGUAAUGUUGAAAAUAAAAGUCAUUUUCCUUUUUUUAAAAAUAUGGAUGAUUGAUAAUUUUAAAAAUAAUUUUCAAAAAAAUAAUUUUCAUUAUUUUCACCAAAAUGUUUUGUAGAAUUAAAAAAGACGAGAACAAGAGUUUUUUAAUUUUAAAUGAACGAGUUCACAAUGGGUUCAAAUCCAUAUAAACACAAAAAAAUAUUUAUUUUUCAAUAGUUUUUUUUUCUAAUAUUGAAUUCGGUACCCUGAUUUGAAUCCAUAUAAAUACGAAAUUUAUUUUAUUUUAUUAAAACAUGUUUUUAUUUCUAUUUAUCAAAUUUAAAAAAAUAGAAAAUGAAAAUCAUGUUUCUAUUUACCAAAUAUUUCACAAAUUAAACUGACUUUAAUUGUUUAGAAAAAAGAAAAAAAAUUCUAUUAUUUUCUAGUGAAGUAGAAAUUAGGAAAGGGAAGGGAUGCUUGCUAUGGAAAUUGUGGAUGGAAAAAAGGAAGUUGUCAAUAAAGAAAAAAAAAAAAAUUUUGGUAUUUUUUUAUGUCUGUUUUAUUGUUUAUGUUUGGGGUUCGUGGUAGUUCUUCUCAACAAGGUCAUCUUCAAUGUUUAAAUCUAUGUCUCAAAUUAAGAAUACAAUGUGCCUUACCAUUACACCCAACACUUGUUGGUAAAAAAAAAAGUGUAAAAUUUAUAUGAUAUUUUAAAAACAUAUAGAUAAUUUAAUGGUAAAAUUAUAAUUUUAUUUUUUUGAAGGAUAAUGCUAAUAUUGUAAUUAUAUUUAUUAUUGUAAUUUUACAUAAAAAUUAAACUAAUUAACUUGUAACAUCAACUAAGUUAAAUAUUUCUUUAAGUAUUAAAUUGUGUUACAAACAUGAUGUCAAUGUAAAAAAUAUAUUAAUAAAUAGGUGAAAUGAGGUUUUGGUUGAAAUGAUUAAUUUGAACCUGAUUUCUUAAGUUUAACUAACUCAACGACAUUAUUUUUUGAAAGAACUCGAUCAAGAUUGCUUUUUCCGUAGUUACUUUUCCUUAAAAAAACCCAAGGGAAAGUUUAACUGUUAAUGAUUUGGUUGACUGAGUUGGGCUUUUUGUUAUUUAUUGUCUCGUUAAAUUUUAUUUUCAUUGGAUUUUAAUGUGUAUUUUCCUUUUCUGUUUUCUUAUUUAUUUACUUGUCUCUUUGUCCAUCUCUGUUACUUUCAUCUUUUUCUCGUCUCUUUUGAUGGCCUUUGGUGCUUCAUUGCUUAUAGGUUACUAUAACGCCUGAGGUAACCGCAAAAAAGGUUAACAGAGCAAUAAUGAAGCAACUUAUUGAUGUAUACAAAGAGUCGCAUCUUGGACGUCGGUGUCCAGCUUAUGAUGGCAGGAAGAGUUUGUACACUGCUGGUCCUCUUCCCUUCGAGUCAGGAGCUUGUUAUCAAGCUACCUGAGGAAGAUCGCAGUGCUGGUUCGUCUAGGCCUGCGCUGUAAUAUUAUUGUAUCCUAUGAUGGUCUCUUGACAUUUUACAUUAUAUCCGAUGUCAUAAUUGCUUACCUGUGAUCUUUCUGGUUGCCUGUCACUGCAGGAAGGAGCGACAAUUUAAGGUUGCAAUCAAACUGGCCUCCAAGCCAGACCUUCAUUAUCUCAGGGAGUUUUUGAGCAGAAAGCAUUUUGAAUGUCCUCAAGAAGCUAUUCAAGUUCUGGAUGUUGUUCUUAGAGCUAAACCAUCUCAGAUGUAACUGCCUGUUGAUUAAUGUUAAACAUUGCUGGCUAUUAAAUUGUUGAAACCAUUUUAUAUGACAUCAAAUUAAUACAUUUGAAACAUCAUUUGGCAGAUAUACUGAGGUGGGAAGGUCUUUUUUCCAUACAUCAUUAGGUCCUAGAGGAGAACUUGGUAAUGGAAUAGAAUACUGGUCUGGAUAUUAUCAGAGUCUUCGACCCACUCAGAUGGGUUUAUCUCUUAAUAUUGGUAGGUACUUUGAUUGCUCAGUUUGUGUAGCCACUUUGUUCCUAAUGUUUCAGUAUGAAGAUUUACUGGUUUUGCUUUGCAGAUGUGUCUGCUCGAUCAUUCUAUGAGCCAAUUUUAGUUUCAGAGUUUGUUGUGAAACAUUUCCGACGAUCAAACCUGUCAAAGCCGCUGUCUGAUCAAGAUCGUAUUAAAGUAUGUAUAUAUUGAAUUCAGUGUUUAUUAAUCAAAACUUGCAGAAUAUUUUUGGAAUGCUUCUUUUGCCGUUUUUGUUAGCUGAAAAAGGCCUUGAAGGGAGUAAGAGUUAGGCUCAUCUACAUGGAUUAUGCCAAAACUUGCAAGAUUAUUGGAGUAUCUAGAGACCCUAUAAGCCAGUUGACGUGAGUUUCUUGUUAUAAUACUAUACCUGCUCAUAAAUAUUUUUAGUAAGCUACUUUUAUGUGGCCUGUGUGGUAGAAUUGUUUUUGGGUUAUUUGUAGUCUUGUAUUCACUCCUUAUCUAAGUUACAUCUUAAAAUUGAGUUGGUUUUAUUUUUAUUUUUUGCAGUUGACAGUUUUUAGUAUUUGGCUUGGUUAUGUCUUGUUCUAAAAUAUUGUUUAUGCUUAUACAUUUGUAAAAUCUUGUGCUUAUGGUACAUUUGUACCAUUCUGUCUCAUUAUGUUUCUGUUCAAUUUUUGGCUGUUUUAGAUUUCCUCUUGAUGAUAAGAGAACAAAUGUCUCUGUGGUCAAGUAUUUCCGUGAGAAAUACAAUGUUGUGCUUAAAUAUCCAUCCUUGCCUGCACUUCAAAGUGGAACUGAAGCUAGACCUGUCUACCUGCCAAUGGAGGUUUUUACUUUAUAUCAAGAUGAUCUUGUUUUUGUUUUCUUUUUGUUUGUUACUGAUUCUCCUGUAUGAUUUUGUUUUACAGCUUUAUAGUAUCGUUGAGGGUCAAAGAUACACAAAAAAAACUAAAUGAACAACAAGUUAGAUCUCUGCUGAGAGCAACUUGUCAACGUCCGAACAUUAGGGAGGGGAAUAUUACAAAGGUACUGCAGUUUUGGAUGCUUAUUAUUUUUUAAAUUGGUUGAUAAGAUGAGAAUUUUGAUUCAUUGGCAUUUCAUAUUUCUGCAGAUGGUCCAGGUCAAUAAUUUUGAGUUGGAGGAGCUUGUUACUAAAGAAUUUGGAAUGCAUGUUCGCAAAGAACUUGCAUUGAUUAAUGCACGAGUUCUAAAUCCUCCAGUGGUACUUUUCAGCCAAUAUGUUAUAUUUUCAAGGAUACUGUCAGUCUUAUAAUACGAUUAAUGUCUGUUUUGGUUGCUGCAGCUAAAGUAUCACGAUAGUGGACGUGACAAAAUCGUUAAUCCUAGUUGCGGGCAAUGGAACAUGAUCAACAAGGUGGUAUUUUUUUUUCUUCCCCUCUUAUUCUUUGAAGUGGCAUUGUUUGUAAAAUUUAAGGAAUCAGACCUGUCUCUUCAGUCUCCUCUUGUUCCAGAGUUCUUGUUCAUUUUUUCAAUUCAUUUUUAAGGUAGCUAUAAGUCUUUUGGGAAAAUUUUGAUAGGUUUUAAGGUUCAACAGUUUUUUUUUUUGCAGAAAAUGGUCAAUGGGGGUAAAGUCGAUUUCUGGUCUUGUGUGAACUUCUCCUCGGAAUAUUGGAAUAUGUCAGAAGAGUUCUGUGCGGAGCUGGUGAAUAUGUGUAACAACAAAGCAAUGGUAUGCUGUGUGGUUUUUUUUAGUGUAGGUGGAUGGUAUAUCUGUUAUUUAUUUAUCACUAGCAUGAUUUCCCAUUUUGAGAUUCUAGGUGUUUUGCCAAACUCCUUCAAUUGCAAUGCGAUCAGCUCGUGCUGACCGAAUUGAUCAGAUUCUCAUGGAUGUAUACAAAGAGUCUGCAGGCUUGAAAAAGCCACUUCAGUUGUUGAUAAUUAUCUUACCUGAUCAGACUGGCUCUUAGGGUAAGAAAUUCUGAUGUUUUGUAAAUAGGUAAUUCCUGGGGUUUCUUUGCGCGACUCAAAUCUUUUUGCUUGCAGGAAAAAUAAAGCGAAUUUGUGAGACGGAGCUAGGUAUUGUUUCACAAUGUUGUAAGCCUGUGCAAGCUGCAAAGUUUAGCAACCAAUAUUUUGAAAAUGUUGCUCUCAAGAUCAAUGCUAAGGUAUGUGUUUUGCCUCACUGGUGGUGAUUUGAUAUAGUGUUUUCUUGUCUUGUUAUCUUAAUUCAUUUGAGAAUUGUAAAUUCUGUAGGUUGGGGGGCGAAAUACUCUGCUGAACGAUGCUAUUUUAAGGAGAAUUCCGCUUGUGACUGAUGUCCCUACAAUCAUUUUUGGGGCAGAUGUCACUCAUCCGCCGCCUGGCGAAGACUAUUCUAUAGCUGCAGUAAGCAUAUUCAUUGUUCUCUACAUCCCCAUUUUGUUACUUGAUCAUAUUUAAGAGGUUAUUGGCUGGAUGCAGGUCGUUGCUUCAAUGGAUUGGCCUGAGGUAACCAAGUAUCGUGGAAUUGUCUCUGCACAGACUCGCCGGAUGGAAAUAAUCCAGGAUCUUUAUAAACAAACAAAGGAUCCACAGAAGGGUUUAGUUGAGGGUGGAAUGGUUAGGUAGGGAGAUAGAUUUAUUUCGGGCUUAAUUUUUUAGUUUCUUCUGGACGUGCUCUACUUUCUUAACAUUUCAAGUUCUCUGCAGGGAAUUGCUUGUUGCUUUCUUCAAGUCGACAAGACAAAAGCCUUCUAGAAUUAUCUUCUAUAGGUAAUGUUUGCUUUUGACCAUCCAAAUAUAUGUAUAUAUUUCUAGCAGCAGUGCUGAUAUCUGAUUUUUGAUGUGGCAGAGGUGGUGUUAGUGAAGGACAAUUCAGCCAAGUUUUGCUUUAUGAAAUGGAUGCGAUUCGGAAGGUAUUGAAAUCACUGUAUAAUGUCUAUUAUAGUUGGUUCACUGUAUAAUGGAUGCUUCUGACCCCUGCAGUUUUCUUCCUUCCAGGCUUGUUCCUCGCUACAGGAAGGAUAUAUGCCUCGGGUUACAUUUGUUGUGGUUCAAAAGAGGCAUCAUACUCGCUUAUUCCCUACUGAUCGCAACAAAACUGAUAGGAGUGGCAACAUAUUACCAGGUGAUUCUAAUCUUAUAAUAGGGAUUUGAUCGUAUUCUCUUGAUCUUCAUUUUGUUAGCAUAUUUUAAUGUAGCCAAUAAAUUUUAGGUACUGUUGUGGAUACUAGCAUCUGUCAUCCAACUGAGUUUGAUUUUUAUCUCAAUAGUCAUGCUGGAAUCCAGGUUAAAUGAGGCUUCCCUUGAAGUGUGAUGGUUUUUAUGUUAAAUUUGUCCGAUCUGAUACUGAUGUUGUUGUGUAGGGGACAAGCAAGGCCACACGUUACCACGGUUUGUUUGAUGAAAAUGGCUUCAGUGCUGACAUCUUGCAAGUGCUCACAAACAGUUUAUGUUACACGUAUGUGUUUACUCCUUUCUCUAAAAUCCUGAAAUGGGGUGAAUAAAUAAUGCUUUAGAUCAGCACUAGUAAUUAUAUAGUAAUAAUUUUACUUUGUGGAUAGGUAUGCGAGGUGUACCAAGUCCGUUUCCAUAGGUUUGUGAUGAUGUUUUUUUGUCUUGUUAAAUUUGUUAACUUAAGGUUGGUUUUGACGGUGAAUAUUUGAAUUAUAUGUUUGCAGUGCCUCCGGCAUACUAUGCUCACCUCGCUGCUUAUAGGGCACGCUAUUAUAUUGAGGAUGAGAUGUCGGAUAGUGGGUCUACUGGUGGAGGCCGAAAGCCGAAAGACAAGGUUGUAGAGUUUAGGGCGCUCCCCAGCAUAAAGGAUAAUGUGAAGGAAGUAAUGUUCUAUGUCUGAUAAAUUAUGUUUGGUUGGUGGAAAGUUGCGCAAGUAUAGUUGCACAGUUUGUGGAUGAUGGUGGAGUCUUGUUGAUUCCAUUGGUGGACUUUGUAAUUAUUUAAUUUUGGAGUUUCUGUUUUGGUGGUUGAGCGAAUUGUCGUCUGAAGUUUGGAUUACUAUAAUGCACACACUAUUUGUGGAUUACGAAAAUUUCAGAAAUGUCCUGUAUUUUCAAGACAAGUUCUUAGAAAGGAUUUUUAGUAUCAUUUUUAAGCUUCUUUUAGAUCACUGAUUAAUACAAGUGAUGAUGAAAUUUUAAAGAAUAAUGUCUUUUUACUAGAGUUUUUACAUGUUCAGAACACAAAUGAUAAGGUACGUUCGGAAAUCCUCCCUGCACCUCCCUGCAACUCCAAUUUUCUACCGGAGUUUAAGCUCCAAUGAAAAUAAAAGCAACCCUAAUUAAAUUUGUUUUUUUUUUAUUUAAAAUUUUAAUAAAUAUAAUAAAUACAAUUUUAAUAUUUUAUUAAAUAUUUUUAUAAAUUUACAUAUUUUUAAUAAUUUCAUAAAAGUUAGAAACUUUUAUUAUAUAUAAUUUUUAAUCUAAUGCUUUCAAUAGUUAUAUUCCAUUAUCACCUCACCGUUACAACUACGUUUGAAAUCAAAUACACGCUUCAUCAUUGUUUUUAUUCUCAAUGCUAUUGUUGUUUUUAAUCUUACCGAAGAUAAAUGCAUUAUCCAUUCCAAUUAAAUCUCAGUCCACUUAUAGUGUUUUUUACUUUGUUAAAGGAGGACAAACCAUGCAAAGUUUUAAUAGUUUAAGCUUAGUUUAGAUGAGCGGUGCGUUUACUUUCAGUGAGAUUAAAAACAACAAUGAUAGUGAGAUUAGUUACUAUGGCGAUGAAAUUAGAUAUUGUAGUAGUGAGAUUAAAAAUUGCGGUAGGGUGUGUGUUUGGAUUCAAAUGCAACUAUAACGAUGAGUUGAGAAUAGAAAAUGACUAUUAAAGACAUUAGUUUUACGAGUUCUCUCUCAUUUCAUUUUUUCCCCUCAAAUUCUGUUGAUGAAUAAAAAAUCUUCUUAAAAUGUCAAAGGAAAACCUCUCAUUUAAUCCUCUCAUCUGAUUGUAUGAAAAUAGUUUUGUUCAUUCAUCAGCUAUUCUGCUCUAUAAUUGCUUUUAUCUGUUUUAUUUUUUUUCAAUCUAAAACUAAAAAACAAGCACCAUCUUUUCCAUUCAUGAUGACACAGAAGGUAAAGAAAAUUAUAAAUUUUAAUUCAUCAAUGGGUAUGGGUGAUUAACCAAAAUAGAGAAGAUAAAAAAAAAGGUAAUGUUUAAAAUAAGUCAUUUUCCUUUUUUAGAAAAAUGGAUGAUUGAUAAUUUUAAAAAUAAUUUUCGUUAUUUUCACCACAGUGUUUUGUAGAAUUAGAAAAGACGACAGCAAGAGUUUUUUAAUUUUAAAUGAACGAAUUCACAUUGGUUCAAAUCCAUAUAAACACAAAAAAUAUUUAUUUUUCAACCAUUUUUUUCUAAUAUUGAUUUCGGUACCCUAUUCGGAUCCAUAUAAAUAUAAAAUUUAUUUUAUUUUAUUAAAAUAAAAACAUGUUUUUUAUUUCUAUUUACCAAAUAUUUCAUAAAUUAAACUGACUUCUAUUAUUUUCUGGUGAAGUAGAAAUUAGGAUAGGGAAGGGAAUGCUUGCUAUGGAAAUUGGCAUGGAAAAAAAAGAAGUUAUAGUUAAUAAAGAAAAAAAAAGAUUAUCUAUUUUGGUAUUGUUUAUAUCCGUUUUACUGUUUAUAUUUAGGGUUCGUGAUUGUUAUUCUCAACAAUGUCAUCUCUAAGAUUUAAAUCAGUCUUAAAUUAAGAAUAUAAUGUGCCUUACAAGUACAUCCAACACUUGUUGAUAAAUAAAUUAAUAAAUAGUGUAAAAUUUAUAUGAUAUUUUAAAAACAUAUAUAUAAUUCAAUGGUAAAAUUUUAAUUUUAUUUUUUGAAAGAUAAUGCUAAUAUUGUAAUUAUAUUUAUUAUUUAUUAUUGUAAAUUUACAUAAAAAAAUUAUCUAAUUAACUUGUAACAUAAGCUAAGUUAAAUGUUUUUUUAAGUAUUACAUUAUGUUACAAACAUGACGACAAUGUAAAAGAUUAUGUAAAAAAUAUAUUAAUAAAAAGGUUGAAAUGAUUAAUUUGAACCUUAUACACUAACUCAAUGAAAUUCUUUUUUGAAAGAACUCGAUCAAGAAUUUAAAUAAUAAUAUAUAUGUGUAAAUAUAAGUUGCCAUGCAAAUUUGAGUUAACUGUACUAAAUGUCUCCAUAUUAUAAUCUUCAUUUUAAAUUAGUCCCUGAACUUCAAAUCAUUCUACUUACAUCUUUAAACUAUCGAUGUUAUAUCAAUUGGGUCAAUUUGUUACUAAAAUUAUUAAUUUAACUAUUAAAUGACACACUAAAUUUUAUAAAAACAAUGAUUAUUGUAAAAAUAAAUGUUUUAAAAAUAUUAAUUUUGAUAUUUUUAAAGCUUUCACAAAAGUUUUAUCAUUCAUUCUUUUUAUUUUUUGUUCUUACUUUUUUAAAUUUUGCAAUAACAUUUUACUUUUUUUAAAAUUGAUUUUAAAUUUCACUGUAUAAAAUUUUACAAAAAGACUUAUCCUCUAUUGGUUACUUAAAAGUAAAACAAACUGACACAAAAUUCAAAAGAAAAAAAAAGGAGCGUAUAAAGUAACAAAUGCAAGAAGGCUAGUACAAAUUAACAAAGCUUCUUGGAGAAGAAUUGACUUGAAAUAAUCCAGUGUGCUUCUAGUAUAAAAUGGGCUCAUUCAUUCCUAGUCGCUCUCUAUACUCAGGUGUGUCGUUUGUUUCAUUUUUUUUCCCUUCUGUUUUGGAGUUUUUGAAAUUUUCAUCUGUUUGCUUAGUUUCCCAAAUUUCAGCCAAUGUCUGGUCGAGGCGGUGGUGGACGUGGCAGUGGUCGGGGUGGUGGUCGACGUGGCCGGGGGCAGGACCGUGGUCGCGGCCAACCUUCACAGUCUUCCUCUCGCGGCGGCGGCGGUAGAGCAAGAGGCCGUGGAUCAUCUGGUUCUACUGCAACUUAUAACCCCCCUCCUCCUCAGAUGGCCCCGGCUCAGCCGCCUCCUCAAAUGGCUGUAGCUCCGCCAGUUCCUCCAUCGGGGGCUGCUUUUUCUCAUCCUUCUUCAAGUUCUGGUGUAGGAUCACUUUCCAGAGAGGUAUCGGAGAAGCUUACAAUGGAGCCGGUGGCUGUGACUACGGCGCCUCCUCUUCCUCAGUCGUCGUCAAAGGCGAUUAGGUUCCCUCCAAGACCGGGGUUCGGCACGGUCGGUACAAAGUGUGUGGUUAGGGCCAACCAUUUUCUCGUAGAUGUUGCUAAUGCCGAUCUUCAUCACUACGAUGUAACUUUCUUUCUCGCAUGUCUCCCUAUUUGAUUUGAAGCCUGUAUUUUUUCUCGACAUUUUUGGCUUGUUGUUCUAAUCGGUUUUUUUUCUAUAUUUGUUAUUUUUCUCUUUCUUUUUUGCUUGUAUAUGUCUGCUUCCUUCCUUUCGACCUAUCUAUGGAUUUAAGUUUUCAGUAAUUACUUUGAAAAACCGAGGGAAACCUUAACUGUUAAUGGCUUGCUUAAACGAAUUCCACUUGUUUAGAUCAUAUUUUUUGAAUUCUAAUGUUUUCAUGUUUCUGUUCGCUUAUUCAUUUACCUUGUUCAUCCCUGAUACUUGCAUUUUCUUCUCCAAUAUUUUAAUCGCUAGUUUUCCUUGUCAUUUUUCUGCCUUGUUUUAAUCGUUUUAUAUUUUGGUACUUCUUAGAGCUCUGUUUUUUAUCCGACUUUACUAUACACUGAAGGUUUUAGUAGUUACUUUUCCUUAAAAAAACCCAAGGGAAAGUUUGACUGUUAAUGAUUUGCUUGACUGAGUUGGGCUUUUUGUUAUUUAUUGUCUCGUUAAAUUUUAUUUUCAUUGGAUUUUAAUGUGUAUUUUCCUUUUCUGUUUUCUUAUUUAUUUACUUGUCUCUUUGUCCAUAUCUGUUACUUGCAUCUUCUUCUCGUCUCUUUUGAUGGCCUUUGGUGCUUCAUUGCUUAUAGGUUACUAUAAAGCCCGAGGUAACCUCAAAAAAGCUUAACAGAGCCAUAAUGAAGCAACUUAUUGAUGUAUACGAAGAGUCGCAUCUUGGACGUCGGUGUCCAGCUUAUGAUGGCAGGAAGAGUUUGUACACUGCUGGUCCUCUUCCCUUCGAGUCAAAGGAGCUUGUUAUCAAGCUAACUGAGGAAGAUUGGUAAUAUUAUUGUAUCCUAUGAUGGUCUCUUGACAUUUUACAUUUUAUCCGAUGUCAUUAUUGUUUACCUGUGAUCUUUCUGGUUGCCUGUCAUUGCAGGAGGGAGCGACAAUUUAAGGUUGCAAUCAAACUGGCCUCCAAGCCAGACCUUCAUUAUCUGAGGGAGUUUUUGAGCGGAAGGCAUUUUGAAUUCCCUCAAGAAGCUAUUCAAGUUCUGGAUGUUGUUCUUAGAGCUAAACCAUCUCAGAUGUAACUGCCUGUUGAUUAAUGUUAAACAUUGUUUGCUGUUAAAUUGUUGAAACCAUUUUAUAUGACAUCAAAUUAAUACAUUUGAAACAUCAUUUGGCAGAUAUACUGAGGUGGGAAGGUCUUUUUUCCAUACAUCAUUAGGUCCUAGAGGAGAACUUGGUAAUGGAAUAGAAUACUGGUGUGGAUAUUAUCAGUGUCUUCGACCCACUCAGAUGGGUUUAUCUCUUAUUAUUGGUAGGUACUUUGAUUGCUCAGUUUGUGUAGCCACCUUGUUCCUAAUGUUUCAGUAUGAAGAUUUACUGGUUUUGCUUUGCAGAUGCGUCUGCUCGAUCAUUCUAUGAGCCAAUUUUAGUUUCAGAGAUUGUUGUGAAACAUUUCCGGCUAUCAAACCUGUCAAAGCCGCUGUCUGAUCAAGAUCGUAUUAAAGUAUGUAUAUAUUGAAUUCAGUGUUUAUUAAUCAAAACUUGCAGAAUUUUUUUGCAAUGCUUCUAUUGCCGUAUUUUUUAGGUGAAAAAGGCCUUGAUGGGAGUAAGAGUUAGGCUCAUCUGCAUGAAUUAUGCCAAAACUUGCAAGAUUAUUGGAGUAUCUAGAGACCCUAUAAGCCAGUUGACGUGAGUUUGUUGUUAUAAUACUAUACGUGCUUAUAAAUAUUUUUAGUAAUCUACUUUUAUGUGUCCUGUGUGGUAGAAUUGCUUUUGGGUUAUUUGUAGUCUUGUAUUCACUACUUAUCUGAGUUCCAUCUUCAAAUUGAGUUGGUUUUAUUUUAUUUUUUGCAGUUGACGGUUUUUAGUAUUUGGCUUGGUUAUGUCUUGUUCUAAAAUAUUUUUUAUGCUUGUACAUUUGUAAAAUCUUGUGCUUUUGGUAUAUUUGUCCCAUUCUGUCUCAUUAUGUUUCUGUUCAAUUUUUGGCUUUUUUAGAUUUACUCUUGAUGAUAAGAGAACAAAUGUCUCCGUGGUCAAGUAUUUCCGUGAUAAAUACAAUGUUGUGCUUAAAUAUCCAUCUUUGCCUGCACUUCAAAGGGGAAGUGAAGCUAGACCUGUCUACCUGCCAAUGGAGGUUUUUACUUUAUAUCAAGAUUAUCUUGUUUUUGUUUUUUUUUUUUUUGUUACUGAUUCUCCUGUAUGAUUUUGUUUUACAGCUUUGUAGUAUCGUUGAGGGUCAAAGAUACACAAAAAAACUAAAUGAACAACAAGUUAGAUCUCUGCUGAGAGCAACUUGUCAACGUCCGAACAUUAGGGAGGGGAAUAUUACAAAGGUACUACAGUUUCUGAUGCUUAUUAUUUUUUAAAUUUGUUGAUAAGAUGAGAAUUGUGAUUCAUUUGGCGUUUCAUGUUUCUGCAGAUGCUCCCGGUCAAUAAAUUUGGAAUGGAUGUUUGCAAAGAACUUGCAAUGAUUGAAGCACGAGUUCUAAAUCCUCCAGCGGUACUUUCAUGCCAAUAUGUUAUAUUUUCAAGGAUACUGUCUGUCUUAUAAUAAGAUUAAUGUCUGUUUUGGUUGCUGCAGCUAAAGUAUCACGAUAGUGGACGUGACAAAAUUGUUAAUCCUAGUUGUGGGCAAUGGAACAUGAUCAACAAGGUGGUUUUUUUUUUUUUUCUUCCCCUCUUCUUUGAAGUGGCAUUGUUUGUAAAAUUUAAGGAAUCAGACCUGUCUCUUCAGUCUCCUCUUGUUCCAGAAUUCUUGUUCAUUUUUUCAAUUCAUUUUUAAGGUAUCUAUAAGUCUUUUGGGAAAAUUUUGGUAGGUUUUAAGGUUCAACAGUUUUUUUUUGCAGAAAAUGGUCAAUGGGGGUAAAGUCGAUUUCUGGACUUGUGUGAAUUUCUCCUCGGAAUAUUGGAAUAUGUCAGAAGACUUCUGUGCAGAGCUGGUGAAAAUGUGUAACAGCAAAGGAAUGGUAUGCUGUGUGGUUUUUUUAGUGUAAUUAUUUAUCACUAGCUUGAUUUCCCAUUUUGUUACUCUAGGUGUUUUGCCAAACUCCUUCAAUUGCAAUGCGAUCAGCUCGUGCUGAUCGAAUUGAUCAGACUCUCAUGGAUGUAUACAAAGAGUCUGCAGGCUUGAAAAAGCCACUUCAGUUGUUGAUAAUUAUCUUACCUGAUCUGACUGGCUCUUACGGUAAGAAAUUCUGAUGUUUUGUAAAUAGGUAAUUCCUGGGGUUUCUUUGCGCGACUCAAAUCUUUUUGCUUGCAGGAAAAAUAAAGCGAAUUUGUGAGACGGAGCUAGGUAUUGUUUCACAAUGUUGUAAGCCUGUGCAAGCUGCAAAGUUUAGCAAUCAAUAUUUUGAAAAUGUUGCUCUCAAGAUCAAUGCUAAGGUAUGUGUUUUGCCUCACUGGUGGUGAUUUGAUAUAGUGUUUUCAUGUCUUGUUAUCUUAAAUCAUUUGAGAAUUGUAAAUUCUGUAGGUUGGGGGGCGAAAUACUGUGCUGAACGAUGCUAUUUUAAGGAGAAUUCCGCUUGUGACUGAUGUCCCUACAAUCAUUUUUGGGGCAUGUGUCAGUCAUCCGCGUCCUGGCGAAGACUCUAGUUCUUCUAUAGCUGCAGUAAGCAUAUUCAUUAUUCUCUAUCAUCCCCAUUUUGUUACUUGAUCAUAUUUAAGAGGUUAUUGGCUGGAUGCAGGUCGUUGCUUCAAUGGAUUGGCCUGAGUUAACCAAGUAUCGUGGAGUUGUCUCUGCACAGACUGACCGGGUGGAAAUAAUCCAGGAUCUUUAUAAACAAACUAAGGAUCCACAGAAGGGUUUAGUUGAGGGUGGAAUGGUUAGGUAGGGAGAUAGAUUUAUUUCGGGCUUAAUUUUCUAGUUUCUUCUGGACGUGCUCUACUUUCUUAACAGUUCAAGUUCUCUGCAGGGAAUUGCUUGUUGCUUUCUUCAAGUCGACAAGACAAAAGCCUUCUAGAAUUAUCUUCUAUAGGUAAUGUUUGCUUUUGACCAUCCAAAUAUAUGUAUAUAUUUCUAGCAGCAGUGCUGAUAUCUGAUUUUUGAUGUGGCAGAGAUGGUGUUAGUGAAGGACAAUUCAGCCAAGUUUUGCUUUAUGAAAUGGAUGCGAUUCGGAAGGUAUUGAAAGCACUGUAUAAUGUCUAUUAUAGUUGGUUCACUGUAUAAUGGAUGCAAUGAUUUUUGGUGUUUGGGCCUUCUGACCCCUGCAGUUUUCUUCCUUCCAGGCUUGUUCCUCGCUACAGGAAGGAUAUAUGCCUCGGGUUACAUUUGUUGUGGUUCAAAAGAGGCAUCAUACUCGCUUAUUCCCUACCGAUCGCAACAAAACUGAUAGGAGUGGCAAUAUAUUACCAGGUGAUUCUAAUCUUAUAAUAGGGAUUUGAUCGUAUUCUCUUGAUCUUCAUUUUGUUAGCAUAUUUUAAUGUAGCCAAUAACUUUUAGGUACUGUUGUGGAUACUAGCAUCUGUCAUCCAACUGAGUUUGAUUUUUAUCUCAAUAGUCAUGCUGGAAGCCAGGUAAAAUGAGGCUUCCCUUGAAGUGUGAUGGUUUUUAUGUUAAAUUUGUCCGAUCUGAUAUUGAUGUUGUUGUGUAGGGGACGAGCAAGUCCACACAUUACCACGUUUUGUUUGAUGAAAAUGGCUUCACUGCUGACAUCUUGCAAGUGCUCACAAACAGUUUAUGUUACACGUAUGUGUUUACUCCUUUCUCUAUAAUCCUGAUAUGGGGUGAAUAAAUAAUGCUUUAGAUCAGCACUAGGAAUUAUAUAGUAAUAAUUUUACUUUGUGGACAGGUAUGCGAGGUGUACCAAGUCCGUUUCCAUAGGUUUGUGAUGAUGUUUUUUUGUCUUGUUAAAUUUGUUGACUAAGGUUGGUUUUGACAGUGAAUAUUUGGAUUAUAUGUUUGCAGUGCCUCCGGCGUACUAUGCUCACCUCGCUGCUUAUAGGGCACGCUAUUAUAUUGAGGAUGAGAUGUCCGAUGGUGGGUCUACUGGUGUGGGGGUUAGGCCGCUCCCCAGCAUAAAGGAUAAUGUGAAGGAAGUGAUGUUCUACGUCUGAUAAAUUAUGUUUGGUUGAUGGUGGAAAGUUGGGCGAGUAUAGUUGCAGUUUGUGGAUGAUGGUGGAGUCUUAUUUAAUUUUGGGGUUUAGGGUUUGGUGGUUGAGCGAAAUGUUGUCUGAAGUUUAGAUGAUUAUAUUGCACACACUGUUUGCGGAUUACGAAAAUUUCAUAAAUGUCCUUUAUUUUUAAGACACCUUCUUAGGAUUUUUAGUAUCAUUCUUAAUCUUCUUUUCUUUUAGGUCACCGAUUAAUUCAAGUGUGAUGAAAUUUUAAAGAAUAAUAUCUUUUUUUGUUACGAGUUUUUAAAUAGUUUAGAUGAUUAUAUUGCACACACUGUUUGCGGAUUACGAAAAUUUCAUAAAUGUCCUUUAUUUUUAAGACACCUUCUUAGGAUUUUUAGUAUCAUUCUUAAUCUUCUUUUCUUUUAGGUCACCGAUUAAUUCAAGUGUGAUGAAAUUUUAAAGAAUAAUAUCUUUUUUUGUUACGAGUUUUUAAAUAGUAAGGUACGUUCGGAAGUUCUAACUGCAACUCACCGCAACUCUAAUUUUCUACUGGAUUUGAAGCUCCAAUGAAUAAAAAAGCAACCCUAAUAAUUUUUUUUUUUACAAUUUUAAUGAACAUAGGAAAUAUAAUUUUAAUAUUUCAUUAAAUAAUUUUAUUAAUUUACAUAUUUUUAAUAAUUUCAUAAAAGUGAAAUAAUUUUAAAAACUUUUUAUUAUAUAUAUUUACUAAUCUAAUGUUUUUAAUAGUCAUGUUUUAUUAUCUUAUCGUUAUAACUGCGUUUGAAUUUAAAUACACUUCACUAUUGUUUCUAAUGUCACUACUAUUAUUGUUUUUAACUUAAUCGAAGAAAAAUGUGUUGUCCAUCCCAAUUAAACCUCAGUCCACUUAUAGUGAUUUUUUCUUUCGUUAAAUGUGCACGAAUCAUGCCAUAAAAAUUUUAAUAAUUUAAAUUUUAGUUUCGAUGAGUAAUGCGUUUAUUUUUUGUUAGAUUAAAUACAAUGAUGGUAGUGAGUUUAGUUACUAUGGUGAUGAAAUGAGACAUUGUAAUAGUGAGAGAUUAGAAAUAGCAGUAGGGUGUGUGUGUGUUUGAAUUCAAAUACAACUGUAACGAUGAGGUGAUAAUAGAAAAUGACUGUUAAAGACAUUAGAUUUAUGAUCUCUCUCAUUUCAUCCUUUUUUUUCCCUCAAAUUCUAUUGAUGGAUAAAAAAUUUUCUUAAAAUAUCAAAGGAAAAGCUCUCAUUUAAUCCUCUCAUCUGAUUGUAUGAAAAUUGUUUUGUUCAUUCAUCAGCUAUUCUGCUCUGUCAUUGCUUUUAUCUGUUUCAUUUUUUUCAAUCUAAAACUAAAAAACAAGCACCAUUUUUUCCAUUCAUGAUGACACAGAAGGUGAAGAAAAUUAUAAAUUUUGAUUCAUCAAUGAGUAUGGGUGGUUAACCAAAACAGAGAAGAUAAAAAAAAACGCAAUGUUUAAAAUAAGUCAUUUUCCUUUUUUAAAAAAAUGGAUUAUUGAAAAUUUUAAAAAUAAUUUUCAUUAUUUUCACCAAAAUGUUUUGUAGAAUUAAAAAAAACGAGAACAAGAGUUUUUUUUUUAAUUUUAAAUGAAUUCACAUCGGGUUAAAUCCAUAUAAACACAAAAAAUAUUUAUUUUUUAACAGUUUUUUUUUCUAAUAUUGAAUUCAGUACCUUGAUUCAAAUCCAUAUAAAUACAAAAUUUAUUUUAUUUUAUUAAAACAUGUUUUUAUUUCUAUUUAUCAUUUUUUUUUAAAAAAGAAAUGAAAAUCAUGUUUCUAUUUACCAAAUAUUUCAUAAAUUAAAAAAAAUAAAGAAAUAUUUCAUGUUUUAAAAAAAGAAAAAAAAAAGAAAUUCUAUUAUUUUCUGGUGAAGUAGAAAUUAGGAAAGGGAAGAGGAUGCUUGCCAUGGAAAUUGGGAUGGAAAAAAGUUGUUAUAGUUAAUAAAGAAUUUUUUUUGUAUUCUUUAUUUUUGUUUUACUGUUUAUGUUUGGGGUUCGUGAUUGUCGUUCUCAACAAUGUCAUAUCCAAGGUUUAAAUCUAUAUCUCAAAUUAAGAUUAUAGGUCAAACGCGAUUUUCGUUGAAAUAAUUAAUUUGAACAUUUAAAUAUGUUGAUUUCUUAAGUUUAAACCUUACUACACUAACUCAACAAAAUUCUUUUUUGAAAGAAUUCGAUCAAGAAUUUAAAUAAUAUAUAUAUGUGUAAAUAUGAGUUACCAUGAAAAUUUGAGUUAACUGCACUAAAUAUCUCCAAACUAUAAUCUUCAUUCUAAAUUAGUCCCUAAACUUCAAAUCAUUCUAGUUACAAUGUUAUAUCAGUUAGGUCAUUUUGUUACUAAAAUUGUUAAUUUAACUAUUAAAUGACACAUUAGAUUUUAUAAAAAUCUUUAAAAAUAUUAAAAAAUGUAAAAUUUUAUAAAAAUAAUAACAAAUAUAAAAUGCAUAAAAAGGGCGUUUUAACUAUUAACUUUAACCAUUGACUGUUAACGUUAAUGAUCCCUAGUUUUUUAAGUUAAAGUCAUUAUAUAUUGCAACAUAGUGUGACAUGUGGCAAAAAAUGAUAAAAAAUAAAUAAAAGUUAUAUAAAAAUUAUAAAAUGCUUAUUUUGGUAUGAUAAUUUUUAUAUUUUUUACGAAUUUUAUGUUUCUUUACAUUUUUUAUCAUUUUCUAUAAAAUUUUAUUUUUUCUAUAUUUCUAUAUAUUUUAUAUAUUUUUUAAGAUUUUUAUAAAAUUUUACAAUUUUUUAUGAUUUUUAUAAUGUUUUUCUAAUUUUUAGUAAAAAUUAAAUAUUUCUUAUAUUUUUAUUAAAAUUUAAUAACUUUUAUAACUUUUAUUGAUUUUUAUUUUUAUCAUUUUUUGCCACAUGUCACGCUAUGUUGUGACAUGUGGUGGUUUUAACUGAAAAAAAUUAGAGGCGGUUAGCUUUAACGAUCAAAGGACCUUUUUAAUGAAUUUUGACAAUUAAGUGCAAAAAGAAAAAGAAAAGCAGGGGCUUAAUUGCUUUUUUAAAAAAGUUUGAGGGCCUUUUUGAUGCAUUUUGACAGUUCAAUUACCCAAUUGAGUGCAAAAAAAGUAGGGCUUAAUUGUUUUUUUUUUUGAAAAAAUUUGAGGACUUUUUAUACCCUUAAACCUUAAUAUUUCAAAAAGAGUCAAAUAAAUUUUUUUAAUGGAAUGCUAACUAAAAAAAUAAUUUUUAAUGAUGUUGGUCAACAAAUAGUUUAAAAAUAAUUUAAAAAUUAUAAAAAUAAAAAAAUUUAGUAUGAAGUACUCGUAAAUUACUAUAUGGAUUGCCAUAUUUAAAAAUAUAAUGUUUUAGUCUAUAUUUCCAUUAAAAAAACAAUUCAAUUCAUUUUAAAAAAUUAAUGAUCAAAUUCGACUCAUUUUAAAAAAUUAAAGGCUAAAUUUAAUUAAAAAAUAAACCCAAAUUGAUAAAAAUGUAAAAUUAAAAACUUAAAUUGUGAUUAUGCCCCCCAAAAAGUAUAUGCAUUCUAUAGUGAAAAGGUAACUAAUUAUGGCGUGCUUGACUGCUUGCAUUUGUAGCAAGUUGAUUAAAGAAAUGCUGUGGAUUUUGUUUAUUAGGUGAAUUUAAAAUAUGAAACUAAAAUUUAUAUUUAACAUUUAUUCGUUAAUAAAAUGUAUUAUAAAAAUAUUGUUAUGAUGUAUUUUAUUAAAGAGAAAAGAUUGUAUGAAACUGUGAUUCUACAUUAUCUCAUCUCUUGCUUAUCUCUUUCUAAUAGAAAGAUGACAAAUUAUGUUAGGAGGAAAAAUCUGAUUUGUGAUUCUCCUAUUGGAAAGGAAUGAAGAUGAUGUAGAAUCACAAUUUCAUACAAUCCGUUCCCUCUAUUAGAAUAUUAUAAAAAUGAUUAUCAUAUGAGUAAGGAGGUCCAUGACAUUUAAACUUUUUAUGAAAUCUAUUCCUUUUAUUUUCGAGGUCCCUUGGAUUAUAUGUUUUUUAAUUUUGUGAAUUUACUUUAACUCAUUUCGUUUAAUCUUAACAAAUUUAUUGAAUAACUAAAUUAGACAUCGGAGAAAAAUGAGUAAGUUUUACCAACUUCAUGUUUAAAUGUAUAAAAAAAAGAAAAAAAAUCAGGUUAAAUUGCAUUAUUACGUACAGAAAAUUCAUAAAAUUUAUUUAAAAUAAUAUAAUUUAGAGUAAAUUAUACAAUUAAUCACUAAAUUAAAUGUCGGAGCAUCAAUUGAGUACAAAGAAGUACUUCAGCCUUUAAAUAGGGAUUAAAGGUUAAGAUGUACCCUAAUUGUCUCCAUGAUUGAACAAUACUUCAAUAAUUGCAGAAUUUCAUUGUGAUGAAAACUAUUAGAAUAAAGGAAGUCAGAGUUAGGUCGAAAUCUUCGACCCAAAUUCUGCUUUAAUUUAGUGGUAACUGUAAAGGGAAAUGGGUUGGGGUUUAAGGCUCGAAAAGUUGUAAUUUUAAAUUAGAGGGAAAUGGGUUGGGGUUUAAGGCUAUUUAGAGGACAAAUUGAUACUAACCUUGCCAAGGGGUGUCGAGGUUAGUGUAUUUAAUUUAACAAAAUAUUAAAAAAAAAGUUCCACAAUAAUAAAACUUUAACAAUAAAACUAUUAAAAAUCUAAGUGAGUAUUUUUACUAUGUUUAUGGUACGGGAAGAUAUGCCCUAUUCUUGAAACCUUGACACAACUAUUUUAUUUGUAAAAGAAUAGAAAAUUAUCUCUUAUUUAUAAAUUGAAGAACGAUUAUAAGUAGUUUUAAAUAUUCUAUCAGAAAGAAUAAAUAUGCUUCGAACUAAUUUUGUUCGAUAAACGAACUUUAUAAGUUGAGUUAACUUUAAAAGCUUAAUAGUAAAUAGUGUAAAAUUUAUAUGAUAUUUAAAAUAUAUAUAUAAUUUAAUAGUAAAUUUGUAAUUUUAUUUUUUGAAGGAUAAUGCUAAUAUUUUAAUUUAUUUAUUAUUUAUUAUUAUAAUUUUACAUAAAAAUUGAUCUAAUUAACUUGUAACAUCAACUAAGUUAAAUAUUUUUUUAAGUAUUAAAUUAUGUUACAAACAUGAUGUUACUGUAAAAGAUUAUGUAAAAAAUAUAUUAAUAAAUAGGUCAAAUGAGGUAUUCGUUGAAAUGAUUAAUUUGAACAUUUAAAUAUGUUGAUUUCUUAAGUUUAAACUUUACUACACUAACUCAUUGAAAUUUUUUUUUGAAAGAAUUCGAUCAAGAUUUUAAAUAAUAAUAUAUAUGUGUAAAUAUGAAUUACCAUGAAAAUUUGAGUUAACUGCACUAAAUAUCUCCAAACUAUAAUCUUCAUUCUAAAUUAGUCCCUAAACUUCAAAUCAUUCUAGUUACAAUGUUAUAUCAGUUAGGUCAUUUUGUUACUAAAAUUGUUAAUUUAACUAUUAAAUGACACAUUAGAUUUUAUAAAGAAAAAAAUAAAUAUUGUAAAAAUGAACGUUCUAAAAAUAUUAAUUUUGAUUUUUUUAAGCUUUAUUUUAUUUUUCGUUUUUACUUUUUAAAAUUUUGCAAUAACAUUUGUAAAGAAUAGAGAGAAAAGAUUGAUUUCUCAUUGAUUAUUAGACAUGAAUAUAUACAUACAAGUAUAGAUAAUUAAGCCUAUGAUCAAGCUAUAUUACAAGGAAACUACUAUCUAUAUACAAGUCAAAAUUCUAAACAUGGAACUUAACAUAUCAACCCAAUACCUAAGCAUGGUAACUGCAUAUUUUCAUAAUACUCCCCCUCAAGUUGGUAAGUGAAUAUUUUGAACUCCCAACUUGCUUUUCAGAUUUUCAAACUGGUCCCGACCCAAAGCCUUUGUAAAAAUGUCUGCCAACUGCAUUUUAGUCGGAAUAUAAUAUGGUCUAAUAAGUCCGGAUUGUAGCUUUUCACGUACAAUAUGACAAUCGAUCUCUAUAUGUUUUGUACGUUCAUGAAAGACCGGAUUCGCUGCUAUGUGUAUUGCUGACUGAUUAUCACAAAAUAAUUUUGCUGGUCUUGUCCUUGUCACUCCCAAAUCCUGUAGGAUAUAAUGGAGCCAUGCAAUCUCUAAACAAGCAUUUGCCAUUGCUCUAUACUCUGUUUCAGCAAAUGAUCGCGAAAUGCUCGCCUGCUUUUUUGAUUUCCAUGAGAUUAAAGAAGAUCCAAGAAAUAUACAAUAUCCUGAAAUAGAUCGUCGAGUCAUACUACAACCUGCCCAAUCUGAAUCGCAAUAAGCCUUCAAUUCGAAAGAAUUCAUGGAUGGCAAUAGAAGACCUUGUCCCGGCGAGCCUUUUAUAUAUCUCAGUAAUCGAAGUGCUGUGUUCCAGUGUGUUGUUCAUGGUUCUCCCAUAAACUGACUGAGCAUAUGUACGGCAUACACUAUAUCUAGUCGUGUUACUGUCAAGUAAAUGAGACGACCAACAAGUCUCCUAUAUUUAGUUGGUUCGUGAAGUAAUUCCCCGUCGGUUGCAUUGAGCUUUAUUUGUUGUUCCAUAGGAAAACUUUCUGGUUUGGCCCCAAUUAAACCUACAUCCUGUAGUAUAUCUAGUGCAUAUUUUUGUUGGGACAUAAAAAUGCCUUGCUUGGAUCGUGAGAAUUCAAUACCCAAAAAAUAUUUCAAUGAGCCCAAGUCUUUGAUGAGAAAUUGCCUAAGUAAGGUCUGCUUUAGUUGGCUGAUUUCUUGUAAAUUGUUUCCCGUUAAUAAAAUAUCAUCAACAUAGAUGAGUAAUGCAGUAAAAGAUGUACCUUGUAUCUUUGUGAAUAAACUGUAAUCAGCCUUGGAUUGCUUAUAACCAGCUUGCUUUAUAGCGAUGGAAAAAGUGAAGAACCAAUUACGUGAAGCCUGUUUAAGUCCAUAAAGGGAUUUAUUCAGCCGACAUACGAAAUUCUCCCCCUGACGGCGAAGUCCCUGUGGAAGAGUCAUGUAAACAACUUCUUGUAAUGCACCAUGUAAAAAGGCGUUUUGCACAUCUAACUGAUGAGUAUACUAGCCCCGGGUAGAAGCAAUAGACAGAAGACAUCGAAGUGUAGUUAACUUAACCGUUAGUGAGAAUGUUUCAUGGUGAUCAAUUCCUUCAACUUGCAUGUAACCUUUGGCAACAAGACGAGCUUUAUAACGUUCGACCGAUCCAUCAGAAUUGUACUUUAUUUUAUAAACCCAUCGGCAACCGAUAGGCUUUUGUCCUGUAGGAAGAGAAACAAUGCUCCAAGUAUGGUUACGUUCCAAAGCUUGUAAUUCUAUAUCCAUAGCUUUUUGCCAAUGAGGGUGAAGUGCAGCUUCUUCAUAAGAUUUAGGUUCAAUUUGUGUUGUAAGGUUAGCUAAAAAAGAUCGAUGUUUAGGUGAGAAAUGAGAAAGAGUCAAGUAAUUUGUAAUGGGAUACCUGGUAUUGUGAAUCAGACUUGCUUUCGGGGCAGCGUGAUUGGCUUCAGAUGACAUGAUAUACUCUUGAUGCCAACGUGGUUCUUGUUUAGUUCGAGUUGAUCUACGGAGAGUUUGGUCAUCAGGUAGAGCUACAGAAGGUGGUUGCAUUUCUUCGGUAGUAAUAGGAGGAAUGGAUGGUGAUGAUAAAGUGAUAUUAGGUGGCUGAGUAAAGGACGGUGGACUGGUCGAGGAUGAUGAAUUGUUCGGUGGUAAAGGGUCACUAGAUGAUGGCUGAUUUUCAGCAGAUGGGGCAUGACUUGUUGGGAAAGAAAUCUGAUCAGCAUCCAAAAUUAAUUGUGGCUGCAAGUUUGGUGAAUGAGAUGAAACUUUUUGAGAAAAAGGAAAAAUAUUUUCACAAAAAUGUACAUCAAGACUGGCAAAAAAUUUCUGAGUAGUGGGGUCAUAGAGUUUGUAUCCUUUUUGUCCAUUGGGAUAUUCGACGAAAACACAAGAGAUAGCUUGAGGAUCAAAUUUGAGUUUGCGAUGAACAUUGGUGGCAUAACAUUGACAGCCAAAAACUUUGAGAUGGUCAAGUUUUGGACGUUUGUUGUAUAGACGCUCAUAUGGUGUUUGGUUUGAUAAAACUGGUGUAGGGAGCCGAUUUAUUAGGUAAACAGCAGUCAAGGCACAAUCGCCCCAAAAGGUUAAAGGAACAUUAGACUGGAACCUAAAGGAACGAGCCACGUUAGGAUGUGACGAUGUUUUCGUUCAACAACACCAUUUUGUUGUGGUGUGUUACACAAGAAGUUUGAAGCUCAAUGCCGUGGUCAUAAAGAAAGGUUUUAAGAGGCUCAAACUCAGUACCAUUAUCAGUCCUUAGGAUUUUAAUGGAAGUAUCAAACUGUGUAUAGACAAAACGGAUGAAUUUUGAUAAAAGAUAUUGAGUUUCAGAUUUGUGUCUCAUUAAAAAAAUCCAAGUGCAACGUGUGUAAUCAUCUACGACGGUGAGAAAGAAACGAGCUCCUGUAUGUGUGGCAAUUUUAUGAGGCCCCCACACGUCGCAGUGUAUUAAGACCAAAGGAACUUUAGUGGUGAUUGAACUAAUAGGAAAAGGUCUUCUUGUUUGUUUUGCUAAAGGACAAACACUGCAAUUAUGAAAAUCAACAGAUUUCUUAUUCAAGGAUAACAAAGGAGAAAUUAAUUUGAAACGGGAAUGGGAUAGAUGUCCGAGGCGCAUAUGCCACAGAUCUGGUGUGCUAGAGGCUUGAAAAGAGUGAACUGGUGAAUACGUAGGCAUCAUGUGAUAGAGACCUCCAUGUUGUUUACCCGAGCCAAUCAUCUUCCCCGUCGUCAAGUCCUGCAAAAAACAUGAGUCAGGAAGCAAUAUAAUGCGACAAUUCAAAUCUCUAGUAAGUUUACUGGCAGAGAUUAAAUUGAGAUGAAAAGUAGGAACACAUAAGGUAUUUUUAAGGGUAAUAUCAGGACUGAAUUCUAUGUUCCCGGUUUUUGUGAUUGGAGCAGUGGCUCCAUUCGGUAGAUUAACUGAAUGUACUAUCGGUGGUUUUGUAUAUCUAAAACGAUAUGAAUUCGAAGACAUGUGGUCAGUAGCACCACUGUCUAAGAUCCACGAGUUUGACGUGGCUGAAUUGGCAAAAGCUUUGGAUAUCGAAAACAAACCUGUCGCGUUUGCAUAAACAUCAACAUUACCAAUGGAAGUUCCUUGAUCCACCGAGGCUAAUGCCUUUGCUAUUUGUUGAAGAUAUUCAACUGAAAAUCCCUGAAUAUUAUUCGAGUUCUUUUCCUCCUUUUCAUUAGAAGUUUCAGAAAGAUUAGCUCGAGGGAUAGCUUUCCCAUUGUUUCGAUUUCCUCCGCGAAUUUGGCUUGAAGAAUUGCCAUCUGCUCUUUCAUUCUUCAACCUACAACGAUCCUCAGUAUGUCCACGUUUAUCGCAGAAUUUGCAAUGAAAUUUCAAGGUACGACAUUCAUUGAUAGUAUGUCCAGAUCUAUGACAAUGAUCACAAAAUUUAGAUGAUGAUUUUGAAAAUUGCACCUUGUUUUGCACAGCUGCAGCAAUGGUGAAGUUCUCGACUGGUUCGGAUGAAAGUUGUCUUUGUGUUUCUUCCUUACAAUCAAAGAAUAUGCUUGCCGUACAUUAGGAAGAGGUGUCAUCAUGAGAAUGUUGGAUCUAACGGCUUUAUAUGACUCAUUAAGUCCCAUUAAAAAUUGCAUUAAUCUGUCUUCCUGAAGUUGCUCCAGAUGUGACGCAGUCUGGUUGCAGGUGAACGGAUUGCGAUAAGUAUCCAAUUCAUCCCAUAGCAUUUUCAGUUUGAUGUAAUAAGAUGCUACGGACAUGGUCCCCUGCGUGAUCGUAGCAAUGGGUUUUUGGACUUGGAAAAUUGCUGGUGCAUUCUUUUGAGAAAAUUGAUCUCGAAGAUCAAUCCAAACUUGAUGUGCGGUUUUUGCGUGCACUAUGCCUUCGGCAAGAUUCGGUUCAACCGAGUGUGUUAACCAUGAUAAAAUCAUGCUGUUGCACUGAUUCCAUAGUGUGAAUGCUGCAGGAUUUUUAUCUUGUGAAGGAGCUUCAAUGGAUCCAUCAAUAAAGCCAAUUUUGUUUUUGGCCGUAAGAGCAUGGAUCAUGGCUUUACUCCAUGAUUGAUAGUUAGCACCAUUUAGUUUGAUGGGAACAAGUAAAUGGCCAGACUGAUCGGAGUGAUGAACAAAAAAAGGAUGAGAGGGAUCGGAUGAAGACUGCGUUAAUGAGUUUUCUUUGUCAGGCAUGGCUGUUUUGAAUGUGAUGAAUAAGAAUGAUAAUUAAUAGCCCAAGAAAGCUACUCUGAUACCAUGUAAAGAAUAGAGAGAAAAGAUUGAUUUCUCAUUAAUUAUUAGACAUGAAUAUAUACAUACAAGUAUAGAUAAUUAAGCCUAUGAUCAAGCUAUAUUACAAGGAAACUACUAUCAAUAUACAAGUCAAAAUUCUAAACAUGGAACUUAACAUAUCAACCCAAAACCUAAGCAUGGUAACUGCAUAUUUUCAUAAUAACAUUUUACUUUUUUAAAAAUUUCAUUUUAACUGUAAAAAAUUUUGCAAAAAAACUUAUCCUCUAUUAAUUACUUCGAAGUAAAACAAACUAACACAAAAUUAAAAGAAAAAAAGGAGGGCUUAAAGUAACAAACGCAAGAAGGCUAGUAUAAAUUAAAUUUACCGUAAAAAAAGAUGUAUGAAUGUAAUUUACACUACACUCAAUCACAGUAAACCCCUGAAACCUGUAAUUUUACAUGGCUGAUGAUGAAGAUACACGGUGAACCAAAAAAAAGAAGAAGACAACCGUGAAAAUAACCUACCAAUUGUUUUGCACAUUGAGCAGCCGGCGGAAUCCUUACAGGAUAUGUUACAAGAACAGUAGACCGGUAAGCAAAAUUAUAGGUAGAAGUAAAGUUAGCAUGCCCCGUACUUGAUCCCGCGAUGAACCAUCAUUGCUCAUCUGCCCCGCAUUGACAAAUUCAGUUCUUCCUGUGUUGAUAUUUGUUGAGACAUUGAACCUGAUCUCAAUACACAAAGGAGCAGAUUCAGAGUUGACAUAAACUCGAUGAGAUAAAAAUGGAAACGAGCAUUGGUAUUCCGAAUUUUAACGUCUUCCGCACCUAUUGAAUAUGUCCUUUUAACAACGUAAUGGUGGAAAAGUCAUUUUACAGGAUUCAGGAGGUUGUUGAACUGGAGAUUAUUGGAUAAAUCUAUUCUAACGUAUAAUACGAAAGUUCAUUUUGACACUUACAGUCAUAGUUGGUCCAUCCGAUCCGUUGAUUCACCAAAUCAUAUACAAAGAUUUUGUAUUUUAGAACAAGAUCUGCAAAAGAAAAGGAGGAAUAUUUAUGGCUUACUACAUCAUGCAGGCAAAAAUCAUCCAGCUAAGUGACAUAUAAAGCAUUCAAAUUUCAAGCACAAAGCUAAGCUUAGGCCUACAAGUAACAAAUUGUCUCCAUCGUAACUUUCUGAAAAUUAAACAAAUUAUAGAAAGCCCAGAAUUCAUGAAGUCUCCAGACAUGUAUAACGUAAUCAAUCCGAACAUUCUGUGUAGUGAAAAUACCUCCUAAAAUUGUUAUCCUUUGACCCUGAAUUUUCUGAAAGCCAAUGCGCCAACUUGCAGAACCACCCUGUAAAUAUAAGUCAGCCGUUUUUCAUUCAGGAAUUCAGGAUAUGAAAUAAAAACGACACACCAUACAAAACAAGGAAGUCCGUUCAGACUGACGUUAGGUUUUAGGGCUUGUCUCAAUAUACUUCCACUUUGGAACUGAAACAUGGGCUAAUAAUGAGAUUCAAACAGCUAAAAGAACAAAACAGAAAAUAAAUAACAAAGAACCCCAUCAAACUAUUUUGUUCAAAUAAAGAAAAUCAGACAAACUCUACCGUAUAACAGAAAGAAAAUAUGAUUCAGUAGAUAGAAAUCUAUGCAUGCAUGUCAAAAGCUUUAGAUAACUUACGAUAGAAUUCUGCUGUACAAGAUAGUCUUGCGGAUUUAAAAUCAUGGAUGCACCACCAGCAAAGUUCAGACUAACUUGAGGGAAUAUGUCGUUGAAACUAAACAGAAUGUUAACAUACUGUCAGUUACGAGUUACAAUCAUCCGUCACUGAAACAAACUGAAAUAAUAUCAAUGGGGAGUCAACCUGGAGGUUAUAAGGUAGCAUUGAUUUCCUUUGGAAAGAAUAGGGCGCACGGUUUGUGAAACAGCAUUUGUGAUCUGCACAACAAGAGAAUAGUUAAUCACUAAACUCGUGAUUCACAACUAAUAUCAGAAAACAAGCAUAACAAGUGAAAAGCACAUAUAUAUUUUAAAUGACAGUUGAUCUUCUUAAUGUUGGCCAAGUAUCGGUAAAACCUAGCUUGAGACUUACAGCACUCAUGAAAGCAUCAUAAGCUUCAUCAGCUAGGUAUGCUAAAGUUGUCCCGGAAUCAACUAUUGUUCCUUGGUUGUUUGAAGUAGAAAACACCGAUGGGUUUAUUGAUAAAACUUGUCCACCAACUGAAAUGCUCCGCAGAUCAAGAUUAUUUUCUUUUAUUCCCCUUUUAACAUCUCAAUUAGUCCAAAAAGUAUUUUUUUUGUAAAAAAGUUUAUUAAUAAAUUUUAUUUAUUUUUUGAAAAAUAUUUUUUUUGUUCAAAUAAUAUCUGACAUAAUAGUUAGCUGUAUUUAUAGUAGUUUUCAUUCAUUCAAAUUAUAUUUGAAAACUAUAGUAAGGCCCAAUUUCGUCCGGCCCAAAUAGAAACAAAAUAAAAACUAAAAAUAAAAAUUCCAAGUCUAUUUAAAAAAAUGGCCGAAAUACAAAAAAAAAAAAACCUAAAGUCCACAACCUAAAUUUUUUUCAUAAAACUAAAAAAAACCCUAGGCCUUUCGCGUCGCACCCCACCACGUUGGCGUGCUGACCGCCCGAGGCCUGACGCACCCUCUACCACCAUUGUAAUAAAAUGGGAAGGCAUGACUCUCAUCGUCGUCGUUGACCACCAAGAGUACCUGCAAAGAGAAAACGAAAUAGGACAAAGAGCAAAAAUAGUGGAAAUGACAAAAACAACAAGAAACAAUACAAAGAAAUAAAUAGUAUGUAAUAUAUGGCUAUAAAAGCCAUAACAACAGAUUGUAUUAAAACACAUGAAGCAAUCGAAACAGAAUAGAAAGAACAAUUUUAAAAAGUGAUUCUUUUAUUUUUGUUACUCUAUUUUAUAUAUUUGUUUUAAAAAAACAUAAAAUAAAAAAGAAAUUGAAAACUUACCGAGUUGUUUCGUGUUCCACCGCCGCGAUUGGACGAGGACACCGUUUCUGAUGAUGGACUGCUCUUUUCGGUGAGACCUCCGAAUCACUUUUGAUUCGUCUGAGGACCAAGUCAGAGAAACCGAAGGACUUCUCGGAUUUUCUUGUUUUUUGUCGAGUUUUGGGAAACAUCGACCCCAUAUUUGGACUAUGGGAGCCGAAAAGGUCAAAAAAGGUGUUGCUUUGUGGAUUCCGGCCAUCGGGAACGGUGGACCUCAUCGCCGAUAACAGGUGGCCACUGUGAGGGGGUUCACCGGACCUUAGGGCCGGCCUAAAGGUUGUUUGAGAGAAAAGGAGAGAAAGACAAUUUUUUUUAAAUGCGGGAGAGAAUGGUUUUUUUUCAAAAUUUUUUUGACUUUUAUAUGCUUUUAAAACGGUGUUGUUUUGGGGUUGGCCUCAGACGCCCAAAACAACAUCGUUUUGACACGACCCGAGACCUGACUCGAAUACUAGCAGGAUCUGCGUGUUUUCACGAUAAGGGUUUAAUUACGACCUUAGUCCUUCCGCUUUUUAAACGCAUUUCAAUACAAUCCUAUUUUUGGUCUUUUUUCUUUUUUAAAUUUAUACCAUUCAAUUUUGAAUUUUUUUUAUUUUUGUCCCUCUGGGUAACGGUGCGCAUAAUGAGGUUGGGAAUAUUUUCCCAUUCGACCCCUAUUCUUUCUUUCGUGUUAUAUUUUAGUCAUUUAUUUUACUUUAUUUAUUCAUUUAUUUAUUUUAUAUAAUUCAUUAUUUCAAUUACAAUUUAGUCAUCCAUUUAUUUAAUUUCACAUUUUAAUUACCUUUUUUUAAUUUUUUUAGCACUUAAAAUUUAUGUUGUUUAUAUCUUUUUAUUUUUUAUUUAUGCAUUUUUAGAUGGUUAUUACAUUUCUUAUUUAUUUAUUUAUUUUGGUAUUAUGAUAGUGAUAUGACUAUUGUCAUUAGUAUUAUGAACUAAUAUUCUUAUUAUUAUAAUUACAUUAUUAUAGUAUUAAGUUAUAACUUUGAAAGGGGAAAUAAAGGAUUAAAUUAAAAUACAAUGCAAAAGUUUAGGGAUUCUGAGGACAAUUAGUCCAAAGUAGUACACGCGUCAUUCCCCGAGGGGUCAACAGUCUGAAGACCAAACUGAAAAUGAAUCCAAACUGAAUGGCAUAAUUUCUAAAAAGAAAGAACAGUGAAAUUAGGACCGGAUUGAAAUAACACAAAAGGUGGAGGGACCAAGGCCAUAAAUAGACCAUUUCCAUGAAAACACGUGAAUCCUAGGGGAUCUAGAUCAAGUUGGCAGGUCAGGCUUGAAACGAUGCCGUUUUGGGACCUCUGAAACCUGGCCGAAACGGCAUCGUUUGAUAACGCCUAUAUAAGUCAAAUUUUUUUAAAAUAUUUCAUUUCAAAUUCGGUUUAACAAAAAAAAAACUUUGAGCCCUUUUUUUUUCUCUCUCAACCCUCCCCCAGUCCGGCCAUAGAGCCACUACAAGCCCACCAUGGCCACCGGUCAUCGGUUACAGCGAUCGUUGCCUUCGGUGGCCGGAGUUGCAAAAAUAGGCUUUUUUAACCCUUCUUCGGUCUAGAUAUGAAGGUUUGCCUUCUGUUCUAAAAAAAUAAAAUAAAAAUAAAAAAGAUAAACUUUUGGCUCUUUCACCAAAUCGACGCGUGCCUUUCACGCCCCGUUUUGUCGAGGCCCAGGCCAAACCCUAAUGGGUUCUAAGGUUUUCGGUGUCAGAGAAAACCUCCGACGACAGAGGGAGGCGAAGCGACUCAGGUAAAAAAACAUAUUUGAUCAUUUAUUUAUUAUAAUUUUUUGAAAUUAAAAAAAAAAUCACCUUCGUUUUUUCUUUUAACCUUUUUUGUUCUUUGUAUUCAAUUUUUUCGUAUAUGAAUAUUACAAUAGUUUGGCUUUUUAUAGCCAUUACAAUAUUUCAUUUUUUUUUCUUUUUCUUUUUUGUUUCUGCUUUGCUAUGCUAUGCUCUCUUUUUUUGUCUAUUUGUCAUAUAAGGACCUCAAAUUUUGAAUUUCAUAGCUAUUUGGUACCUUUAGCUACUAGAAUUCAACUUUUUCAUUUUAUGCAAUUUGGUCAUUUUUAUCAAAUUAAACAUGUAAUCGGUAAAAAUUUCUUAACAAAAUUUUCAUACGAUAUUUCUAUCAUACUGUAGACUAUAAAAUAAUAUUAAAAUGAAUUUUCUUCAGACCUUGGAUUUGUGGUCCCAAAACCACUAUUUCGAUUUCACUGAAAAUGGGCUGUUACAGUCAACGGUGGGGAGAGAGCCGUAACUUUGCCAUUUUGGCACAAUGGUGGCAAUGGAGGCGUCAGGUCUCGAGUAGUGCAUCCGCUGACGUGGCUAGGAGCAGCGACGAAAAUGGGAUCUAGGGUUUUUGAUUUUCUGAAAAAAGUUUAGGUUGUGGGCUAUUGGGCUUUGGGUUGUUCGUAUUAAGUUUAGUAGAUAGAUUGGGCUAUUGAGCUGUUUUUUAUUCGGACCAAUCUAUUUUGUAAAUGGAUUAGGACUUUUUAUUUUUAGUUUUAUUUUGUCUAUUUGUCUGGGUUGGACAGAAUUGGGCCAUUACAUGGGCCAAAUCUAUUACUUCUAGAAUUUGACUUUAAAGUUUAUAUUGAGUUUUUAAAUUUAGUCUAUUAAAAUUAUAUAAUUAAAAAUUGAAAAAUAUUUUAUUAAUAUAAAGUAUAAUAAAAAAUAAAAAAUAUAUAAUUAACAUAUUUUUAAUAAAAAUAUCAGAGAUUAGAAUAAAAUUUUAAAUAUAAAUUUAAAAUAAGAAUAUAAUCGAAAAUAAGAAAGUAAUGAUUAAGAUUUCAUAUUCAGGUCCUAAUAAAUAAGAUUGAAAAAUGUAAAAUAGGGUGGCAGUGUACCGUAGCAGAACAGUUACAGACAAAAUUCACCACCUUGAAACAGUAAAAAAAUAAGCGGGUACUGUGAAAUUUGAUGAUCUCAUUGCUCCAUAUGGAAAACAUCUGAAGCUUAAGUCAUUGAGCUGUGUGAUCAUCAGUGAUUGGUUAACUUUUCCUCAUUGAGGUUGAUUGACAUUACCAUUCUCAUACCAUAAUUAAAUAUGUCAGGUGUCAUGCAUUAUUAACCUUAUUAAUAAUAUAUUUUCUUUUAAUAUUGUUUAGAAAGCUCCAAGCAAUAAUUUAAUUAUCGGUAUUAUAGAUUAAUAUUUGUCGACAAGUAGAACAACGAGAUUUAGAUUUAAGUUGAUUUGACGAUUAGUGUUGAAGAUUAGAGAAUAAAGAUGUUUGAAUUUUAGUUUUGCAGAUUUAUGGCGUUUAAAGCUGUUUCAUAAAAAAAUAAAAUCAUAAAAGAGUAGGGAGCUUUUGAUUGAUGCAAACAGUGUGAAUAAAGAAAGUCAUGCAACAAUGAUUUGAACUAUCCAAUGAUCUAAAUGAAAAGUUUUGAAUAGUUCAAUAACCAUUUUGUAACUUUUUGAAGUUAAAUGACUAAACCAUAAAUUUACUAAUAGCUUAGUGACAUUACGUAUAGUUUAUCCAGAAAAAGGGAUAAAUCUUGAAACUAUAUAUGAAUUUUAUUUUAAUGUGUAAUUUUAUACCCAAACUUUAAUUUUGUACAAUUUUGUACAUGAAAUUUUAAUUUGAUUAAAUUCUCACUAUUUUUAACACAAAUAUUGAUAUAACAUCAAUUUAUAUUUAUAUAUUGUAUACACAGAGAGUUAUAUUUAUUAAAUAUAGAAAUAUAAUUUAAGGGAAAAAUAUAAUUUAAUAAUUUUAAAAAAAUGUUAGACUUUUAACAAAUUUUUCAAGAAGUGAUUUAUUCACUUUCAAAAUUAAUAGAAACUUAAAUUAUUAUUCAAUUUAUUCGAAUUAUAAAAAUUUAAUUUGAUCGAAACUUAAUAAUUCAGCUAUCUAUUCGAAUUGACUCAAUGUGAGUGUAGAUAGCGGUUUAUUUAUUUACAAUUAGUGUAAAAAUAAUGAUGACUGUAAAAUUAGAUACUGAAAAGAUAUUAUAGUUUGAAAUAAAAAAUAAACUAAAUACACUGCAUUACACCCGUUAAUACUUUACUAAUAAAAAAGUUUAUGAUAUUAACAUAGAAUUUAAUAAAACUUUGUAAAAGAAAAUAAAAGUAAAAGGCAGGAUUAGGUUGGAGUUGCUUUUCCCGAAGGUGGAAAAUGUUAUAUGCUGAUAAGAAGAUUGUUUGAAUCAUCGUCUUUUUUAAUAGAAAUAUUAAAGUAAAAAAGUAAUAUUAUUUUAUUAUAAAGUCAAAGCAAAUGGUAGAAAAAAACAAAGACGACCUUUAGGCAAGGAGAAUAUUACGCACUUUAUCCUCUUGCUUGGCUUACGCUCCCACAGUCCGCCUAACUUCCAUGUUUCAUAAAUCGUACGUUAAUUAUCAUAUUUAUUGAAAAGAUGGAGUUUUAUAAAAAAAACAAUAUAAAAAAUAGUAUUUGAUUUAGAUUAUUUAUGAAAAUUUAUGUUUUUUAUAUUGAACUUAUAUGCUAGUGAACUGUCAAUACCACCUUAAGUUAUUCCCAAUUAAUCAAUCAUAUGGUAAAAAGAUAACAUUUUUUUCGAGUGGUGUCACCUUGUAUUUUGGUAACACCAGUUUUUUUUUUUAAAUGUAAUUUUUGUGGUGUCACCUGAAAUGUUAGUAAUAUUUGCGAUUUUUUUAAAAAGGCCUAACAGGAAAGAAAAAGAGUUGAAACGGAAAAAAAAAAUGAAGUCGGUUUGAAAACUUUUUAAAAAAUUGGCCUUAAUAAGUACUAUCUGACAGUGUGGCACCAACAGCACCUUAUAAAUAUCCUUCCCUCAACCAAAACAACAAAUUUUGAAUGUUUGUACUUUGAAACAAAAGGGAAGAGAGAAAAACUAGUUGUUAGAAAUAAAAAUUGAAGAUCAACAAUAUUUAUUUUUCAUUUUUGAAUUCAAGUUUUUUUUUCAUUUUGACUUUACAAAUUAAGUUUGAGUUGAUAAGGUUAGUUUGUAAUUUAACGAAAAAAUAUGGAGAUUAAUUAUAUAAUUUAACCUAAUUUUUUUGUUUUAAAUGAUGAUUUAACAUUCCACGUCAGCUUACCGUUAUGCUAAUAAAGACAAUUAAUAACUCAGUGAAUAAAAUGUUACAACAUAUUAACAUAAGUGAUUAAAAUGUAAUAUUUUAAACAUAAGUGACUAAAAUAUAACUCGAGAAAAAUAAAAGUGACUAUUUAGUAGUUUACCCAAAAAAUUGUACAAAAAAAACGGGCUUACUUUGUGUUUAGGGUUUUUUACAGAUAUAAGUUAAAAAAAAUUAAUACUGAAAUAGGUUACCAGAUAGAUUAAUUACCAAAAUUGUAUUUUUUUUAAUGGAGCCUAUCUGACAGGCGCAAAUGAAUAUUUUAUAUUAAAUUUUUUUGUUUGAAUAAAAUAUUAAUUUUUUUAUUUUUAUUAAAAAUAUUUAAAUAUAAAUACAGGUCAAAAUACGAUUAACGGGUCAAAAUACGGGUGAGAAAUGAGUUUUCGGGUGGCGCCUGUCAGAUAGGCGCCACUAAUUGCGCCUCAUAGGGAGGCACCAAUGACGAUGGCAGUUUGCUGCAUUGCUGCCUGCCGCUACAAUACCAGCAUGGUGUUGUCCCUUCAACACCAGCAUUUUAUGGCCUAUAAGUAUGGUCCCAAGGUCCCCAAACAGCUUUCAUGAACGGAAGAGAGGAAGGAAAAGAAGAGAAGAAGAAGAAGAGAAGAAAAAGAAGAAAGAAUAAAAAAAAAGGUAAUGUAUUAUUUUAGUAAAUAAUUUUGUUUAUUAAAUUAUUUAAAGAGUUUAAUUAAGAUAUUGUGAUUUUUUUGUUAUUAAUUAUUAAUCAUAAAUUAUUUAUGUUUUGGAUUAGUAUUUUGUAUGAAUAUUGUAAUUUUUUUUCUUUUUAUAAUUAUUUUAAAAUUAAUUUGUUAGUAAUUUAGGAUUAUGUUAUAAAUUUUUGUGUUUGUAAUUAUUUUACAAUUAAUUUAUUAGUAAUUUAGGAUUAAGUUAUAAAUUGUUGCGUUUAGUUUAGUAUUUGGUGAGUUUAACAUAUAAGUUUAUAAAAAAAUAAAAAAUCAUUUUAUUAAAAGUUUAAUUAGAAUUAACUCUUUUAAUCAUAUAGUUGAUGUUAACUCAUUUAAUUUUUAUAUAAUAUGAACAUAGUUGCUGUUAAUUCAUUUAAUUUUUUAGGGUUUUUUACUGGAGUAUAUUAAAAAAAUUAAAUACCGAAAUACAUUAAAAAAUAUUUAUAUUGAAAAAUACUAUUAUAAAUAUAAUAAAUAUUUUAUUGUAUUAAAUAUAAUUUUUAAAAUUUUAUAUUUUGGGUUGAGUUACUUAGUUUGGUAAGUUUUUUUUUUUUAGAUUUUGGGUAAUGGAUUUAAUUGUUGUUGAAUUAGUGAUUUAAUAUAAAUAUAAAUAUAAAUAUAAAUAUUAUUUAACAUAUAUAAUUAAUAUCAUAUUGUUAUAACAUAAUAUACUAGAGUCAAGCCGAGCUCAGACAAAAAAUUAUAUCCAAAGCCCGACCCAUAUAGAAAAUGGGUCAUAUACUGAUUCGAGAAAAAAAUUAAUAAUAUUUUAUUAAAAGAAAAAAAAUUUAAUAUAAAAAAUUCAUUGACGCCUGUCAGAUAGGCGCCAUUAAAAAGAAAAAAUUAAUAUAAAAAAUUCACUGGCACCUGUCAGAUAGACGCCAUUAAAAAGAAAAAAAUUAAUAUAAAAAAUUCAUUGGAGCCGAUUAGAUAGACGCCAUUAAAAAAAACAUAUCAUUUCAGUAAUUAAUCUAUCUGACAACCUAUUUUGGUAUUUAAUUUUUUUAAUAUAUUCUAGUAAAAAACCCUUGUUGUGUUUAGUUUAGUAUUUGGUGAGUUUAACAUAUAAGUUUAUAAAAAAAUUAAAAAUCAUUUCAUUAAAAGUUUAAUUAUAACUGACUCUUUUAAUUAUAUAGUUGCUUUAACUCUUUUGAUUUUUAUAUAAUGUAAUUUUAUUUGAUUUUUUAUUUAUUUUACAGUUUUUUUUUAUUUUUUGAAGCAAAUUAAAUGCAUUCAUUUUUUAAUUGUAGAUUUGCAGAAAAUGAGUUCUUUGAUUAAUAAUAAUCACAUAUCAAGUACUAUUAAUGAGAUGAUAAUAAAAUUUUUAUUUGAUACUCAUGUUAUUUGCUGAAUUAAAUUAUAUUGUAUUAACUCUUUUGCUAAUUUAAUAAUGUCAGGGUCCGUACCACGUGUUGUUGUCAAAAUUUCUAUUAAAUCUCAUUGGUACUUGUUUGCGACAUUCAAAUAUACAUCUCACGGUUGUUGUUAAAAUUUCUCCAUCGAAAUAAACGUAUACAAAAAAUAGAUUCUCCAUCUUCAAUACUAGAUCUAUUAAAAAAUUUCAAAAUUCUUAAAACAGUUUCAAAAUGCAAAAAAUUACAUAAAAUUUUUAAUGCAAAAUUUUUCAUUCAAAAACUAACAAAAUUAAUAACCUAACAAAAUAACUUUCAAAUAAUAAAAUUACUAACAAGACUCUACAUUCUAUUUAAAAAGAAAUAAACCAAAAUAUCUUAUCCUUCUUCUUGUUUUCCUUUCUUUUUUUUUCUUCUCCCUAUCUUCUUAUUUCCGUUCCUUUACUCAAAUUUAUGUCUGUGUUUUGGGUAUAUAUAGGAAAAAAAAUAACCAGCUGUGGGCCCCACCAUUAGCGCCUCUCAACAUGGCACAACUAGUGGCACCUGUUAGAUAGGCUCCACUAUUGGUGCCUCUGAGAUAGGCGCAACUACUUUGUAUCCAUACUAGACCUGUCCAUGGGUCGGGCGGCCCGGCCCGACGGCCCGCCCGAAAUAUGGGAGGGUUCGGGUAAAAAUAUAAGCCCGAAAUAUGGGCUUGGGCAAAAAAACGAGGCCCGUUUAAAAAAUGGACCGGGCUCGGGCUCAACUUUUUUGGCCCGGGCCCGGCUCGGCCCGGCCCGAAUAUAACAAAUAUAUUUUUUAUUUUUAUUUUUUAAUUUUAAAAUACUUUAAUUUUUUUUAUUUUUUUAUUUUUAAAAUAUUUUUUUUGUGUUUAUUAAAAGCCGGGCCGGGCCAGGCCGGGCUUAUUAUUUUUUCCCAGGUCGAGCCUGGGCAAAAUUUUAUGCCCAUAUUUCGGGCCGGGCCCGAGCCUAAGAGUCGGGCCGAAAUUUUUUUCCGGGCCCGGCCCGAACCCGGCCCGACCCAUGUACAAGUCUAAUCCAUACGGGUUAUAUAUUGACCCGAGAAAAAAAUUAAUGAUAUUUUAUUAAAAAAUUAAUAUAAAAUAUUGAUUAGAGCCUAUCAAAUAGGCGCCAUUAAAAGAAAAUUAAUAUAAAAUAUUCAUUAGUGUCUCUCGAAUAUGCGCCAUUAAGAAAAACAUACCAUUUUUAUAAUUAAUCUAUUGACAACCUAUUUAAAUAUAUAUAUAUUUUAACUUAUAUCAAGGCAACUAAACGCGAGGAUGUCUGAUUUUGUCGUAAAAAGAAAGGAACAGUUUGCUCGUUUCUACGUAGGAUCGCUCACAAAGCUUCUUGGAGAAGAAUUGACUUGAAAUAAUCCAGUGUGCUCACGCUCAUUUUAACCGGCUGUUCGAUUAUACGAGAUUCCUUCUCAGGAACAGUUUGCUCGUUUCUACGUAGGAUCGCUCACAAAGCUUCUUGGAGAAGAAUUGACUUGAAAUAGUCCAGUGUGCUUCUAUUAUAAAAUGGGCUCAUUCAUUCCUAGUCUCUCUCUAUACUCAAGAGUGUCGUUUGUUUCAUUUUUUUUCCUUCUGUUUUGGAGUUUUUGAAAUUUUCAUCUGUUUGCUUAGUUUCCCAAAUUUCAGCCAAUGUCUGGUCGAGGCGGUGGUGGACGUGGCAGUGGUCGGGGAGGAUGUCGACGUGGCCGGGGGCAGGACCAUGGUCGCGGUCAUCCUUCACAGUCUUAAACUUAUAACCCCCCUACUCCUCAGAUGGCUCCGGCUCAGCCACCUCCUCAAAUGGCUGUAGCUCCGCCAGUUCCUCCAUCGGGGGCCGCUUUUUCUCAUUCUUCUUCAAGUUCUGGUGUAGGAUCACUUUCCAGAGAGGUAUCGG
rnacentral:lncRNA from 1 species